AGAGCAGCAAUUCCGAGUUUAAAGAAACAUCGGACUUUACUAGGGUUUUUUUUGUCACGCAGGGAAAGCCAGAAGGGGUGGAAGGCAUGCAGGAGGCAGAUGACAUCAUGUGAGGAUCCUGAGCAAACUCUAUCCAUAAGAGGACCUGUCCACUUAUUCCAUGACUGCUAAAUUUGCUCAAGAGUCUUUGCUGAGGGGCUUUGUCCAAAGCCUUUGGAAGUCCAGGUCUAUGUGGUUGCUCAAUUUUGAAAUUUGGAUCCGGUGAUACAAGUAACAGACAGG